CUGAUUGGCUGCGCGGGGGCCGGGCAGCCUUCACUCCCGCUCGAGGAGCAAGCCGGGGCUCCUUCACUCUCGCUCCGGAGAGCCAUUCAUAAAAGUGCGGGCUUGAAGGACGAGCGCGACCAUGAGCGAGCCGCGGCGCCCGAGUCGGACUUUGUAGAUCCGAGAAGCCGGAGUGGCAACUUUUCGGUCGUUCGGAGCCGCGUUUUAAGUUACAGCCGCCCCCGUCCCCGUCCCCCUCCUCCCACCCCACCGGUCAGCGUUGGAUCCGUCGGCCUACUGCGACUCCCCGGCGUACGGCCCGGACCUGUGCCCCAACAUGAUCGCCACGCAGGCCAAGCUGGUGUACCAGCUCAACAAGUACCACGGCGAGCGGUGCCAAGCGCGCAAGGCCGCCAUCGCCAAGACCAUCCGCGAGGUGUGCAAGGUGGUGUCAGACGUGCUGAAGGAGGUGGAGGUGCAGGAGCCGCGCUUCAUCAGCUCGCUGAGCGAGAUCGACGCGCGCUACGAAGGCAUGGAGGUCACGUCGCCCAACGAGUUCGAGGUGGUGCUCUACCUCAACCAGAUGGGCGUGUUCAACUUCGUGGACGACGGCUCGCUGCCCGGCUGCGCCGUGCUCAAGCUGAGCGACGGCCGCAAGCGCAGCAUGUCGCUGUGGGUGGAGUUCAUCACCGCUUCGGGCUACCUGUCGGCGCGCAAGAUCCGCUCGCGCUUCCAGACGCUGGUGGCGCAGGCGGUGGACAAGUGCAGCUACCGCGACGUGGUCAAGAUGGUGGCGGACACCAGCGAGGUGCGGCUGCGCAUCCGCGAGCGCUACGUGGUGCAGAUCACGCCGGCCUUCAAGUGCACCGGCAUCUGGCCGCGCAGCGCGGCGCAGUGGCCGGCGGCGCACAUCCCCUGGCCGGGGCCCAACCGCGUGGCCGAGGUCAAGGCGGAGGGCUUCAACCUGCUCUCCAAGGAGUGCUACUCGCUCACCGGCAAGCAGAGCUCGGCCGAGAGCGACGCCUGGGUGCUGCAGUUCAGCGAGGCAGAGAACCGGCUGCUCAUGUCCGGCUGCCGCAAGAAGUGCCUGUCGGUGCUCAAGACGCUGCGCGACCGCCACCUGGAGCUGCCCGGCCAGCCGCUCAACAGCUACCACAUGAAGACGCUGCUGCUGUACGAGUGCGAGAAGCACCCGCGCGAGGCCGACUGGGACGAGGCGUGCCUGGGCGACCGGCUCAACGGCAUCCUGCUGCAGCUCAUCUCCUGCUUGCAGUGCCGCCGAUGCCCGCACUACUUUCUCCCCAACCUGGACCUCUUUCAGGGCAAGCCGCACUCGGCCCUGGAGGCGGCCGCCAAGCAGACGUGGAGGCUGGCCAGGGAGAUCCUCACCAACGCCAAGAGCUUGGACAAAUUAUAAGAAAGAAAAAAAAAACCCACGCAAACUCCCGGCUCGCACUUUUUGCUUUCUUUUUUUUUUUUUUUUGCGAGUUGACUUUGAGGUAAAAAAAAAGUGACAUCGUUUGGGGGCUUUGGAGCAGAAGCAGGAAAAAGACACGAAGUUUAUCGUGCAGUAUUGUCCCCGCCGCAUGUCCUUGACUCCAAAGUCUGCGUGCAGAGAUGUCAGCAAAUGUGAAGUGAUGGAGUCGACGCUUUCUUCUGGGCGGAAGAGAUGAACAGGCUGCCAUCAAUGUACGGUGACCAUUCCAUUAAAGACAACGCGAGAGGAAGAGAAGAAAGAUAUUUUGUGCCGUGUUAACCUUGAUGGCCGCGAGCAGGGAUCUCUUUCAACCGGAUUAGAUUUUUUUCUUUAACCCCCGAGAGAGGGAAAAAAAAAAAUCAAUAGUAGGGAGCGGCGGCAUGACAGGAGCAUCACUCCAGAAUUGAAGUGGCUGUCAGCCAUUGUCAUUUGCUGACUUUUGUUCGCCAUUGUUCUUUUAAACCCUCAUUUUUCUCUCUCGCGUGCCCAUUGUCUGAAUUCCCCGGUGAUGUUUUAUGUUGCAAUUUGGAAACUACGGGUCAAAGGGUCAAGUGCAAGUGGGUCUUUUUCUUUUCUUUUUCCGAAAAAACAAAAAAACAAAAAAUCCCCCCAAAAACCAAUUGCCGGACCCCCUCCGAGUCUCCCCAUAACCUCUUUUGUGUUUUCCCCAUGUAUUUGCAUUCUGAGCUAUCAGAAAAGGACAAGGCAGAUUCCCCGCCAUCAUCCGGACCCCUUUGUUGUAAACCAUACCCCGCGGGAGUACUUGUCAACGCACGUGAGAAAUUGGAGACCAUCGCGGAGUGACGGCCCGGCGGCUACGCCGCCGAGCGUCAAGUCAUUACAAAUCAAACGUGUUCGUGUCUUCAAACAGAGCUUUAAAUUCCCGCC